GUGAGGAAUAUUGCGCAAUGGAGGCAACUCUGACGCAGCCAUGCCGCGUGCAGGAAGAAGGCGCUACGCGUUGUAAACUGCUUUUAACCGGGAAGAAACCCCAGGACGUGUCCUGGGUUGACGGUACCGGAGGAAUAAGCACCGGCUAACUUCGUGCCAGCAGCCGCGGUAAUACGAAGGGUGCAAGCGUUAUCCGGAUUCAUUGGGUUUAAAGGGUGCGUAGGCGGAGCGUUAAGUCAGUGGUGAAAUCCUGCAGCUUAACUGUAGACUUGCCAUUGAUACUGGCGAUCUUGAGUGCGCUUGAAGUGGGCGGAAUGUGCCGUGUAGCGGUGAAAUGCUUAGAUAUGGCACAGAACACCAAUUGCGAAGGCAGCUCACUAAGGCGAUACUGACGCUGAGGCACGAAAGCGUGGGGAUCGAACAGGAUUAGAAACCCCGGUAGUCC
rnacentral:rRNA from 1 species